rnacentral:tRNA from 1 species
GGAGAUGUAGCUUGGUGGUAGAGUGCUUACCUAGCAUGCAUGAGGCCCUGGGUUCAAUCCCCAGUACCAGCA